AUGGGCAAAAUAGAAACCCAAGGGCAAAUGUGUGGCUUUGAUCUCAACCUUACUGAUCAUCAGGCUAAAUAUAAAUGGUCUCGAAACAGUACAUACUCUAUGGCCCUAUCAACACAGAAGUCAGGACGACGAAAGCUGGUCUUCGGGGUCCGUGGUUGCCUGGGACGGAGGGAGCAGGAGGAGCUAAACAUGAGAGACCAUAAAGCCGCACAGAUGUACAGCUGCGGCCAACCUUCUGCCUGCACACGGAAGAGCUGCAGCUUAUCAGAUAAAAACACAGUCUGACCAAGAUCUUUGAUGAUGAUAUUCAACGUGUGAGGAAACGCUUUCCAGAACUGCCAUACGUGAACUCAAGAAUUUUGCCAGAAGUUUGAAUAAUGUUCCCAAGAACCUCUUAAAAGUUGCUGUCGUACGACUGUAAGGAAGGGAGGGUUUUCCAUAUCUGAGUUUCUAAGAACAGAAUAAUUACCUGGGAAUUUUGGUUGAAGAUAAGUACCUUGUUUUACAAAUGAGAAGGAAGAGAGAGGAGAGAGGGGGAGAGGAAGAGAGAGAGAGAGAGAGAGGUUAAAAAUUAAACAUACUAAAAAGUAGGAGCUGAGUGUACGGAAGUUUUCAGUCAAGUAGAUAUUUGACAUUUCUCUUGUGAAUUGUUUGCUUUAGGCAACAAAAGUGGAAAAUAUCUGAAGGAAAACAUAAAUUUUGUUUAAAAGUUAUCUGAUUAUUCUACCUCUAUUAAUGCAACUAAUCACAAAGUUGAAAAAGGACACUUGCCCACGUCCACUGGCUGACGGCCUAAAUGGUGGUAUCCUGUGUGACCACCGUUUAUAGGCCGUUCAGCCUCAGCUGCCUCCUGACACAUUUCGGGGCCGACCUGAAGGCCUCUCCACACGCAGGGACUGUGGCCUAACCGGGCGUGUGAACAGAACCCACCCUUGCCCUAGCAGCUGAAUCUCAGCGGAUCACAGCAGCCAGUGGUCACCACGCACCGUGGCCUGGUUCACACCAUGUUUCAAUGAGGCCCACACCACGCAGUGCCUGUCCGGCUGCUUCUGUGCCUCCAUACAGUUUUCUGUGCAUCACUGUCCUUUCUCUAUCCACAAAUCUGACUGGACCACGCAGCAGCCACGAAGCCACCCUGAGCCUGUGCUGGGUCCUGGCUGCCCUGGUCACAAACAUUUAUGUGUCAUGAAGCUCUGUGGCAUUCAGUUUGUCUGAAGUUUGUCUUUUACCAUUGGUGAUAGAGUGAGACAUACAGUGAGAAGGGGUAGGAGAUGUCCAAAAUCACAUCAAAAUUACAUCACAAGCAUUUCUGAGUGAGGAACAGUAGGGGCAGUAUCAGGUGGGACAGACGGGGUGAGUGCAUGAUCAGGAUGGGGGAAUAGGUGGGGCGGGGGCAGAGAGGAGGAAGAAGAGGGGAGCCAGCAGCAGGGAGAGGGGAGCCAGCACUGAAUACAAAACAUGAAAGAAAACCACCAGCUUCCGCACUCUCCCCUGUGCCCGGGACCUGACUGCUCUGAGGGGACCCGGAUGCGCUGUGGUGGCCUGACACUGGCUGAGAUGCAGAAUCAGGCCCAAGGGCUUCUGAGCUGGAAUCUGCCUUUUCCCAGGAUCCAGGUGAUUGGGAACUGUAUUCAUCUGAGGAAUGCUCCUUGUGACCAGGGUCCCACCAAGGACUCCUUCCCUCUGCCUUUCUCUGCAGGAAGCCCCUGAGAGACCACGGCAGGCAGGAUGCCGAAUGGGCUCCGGAGGCCUUCCAACCAUUCCCAGCCACGACCGGGAUCUGUGCUUUGAGCUGAGUCUACAGCAAAGGCCGCCUUGGCUCUCUCCCGGGGCCUAUACUUUGGAAGAAAGGAUGCAGGUGUUCUCGGAGGACAGGGACUGAUACAUUCCGAAAACAUGUUGUCUAGAAAAAAAUUCUUGCAAAUAGGAGGACAAGUUUUAUGCAUGGAUGCUCCCUUGCCCUGUCUGUGAAGAAAGGUGGGUUAAGUAGGUGCUUAGAAGCAAUUCUGUACCAGCAAAAUGUUUGUUUUCUCAUAUUUUGCAAGAUAAGUGAAAUUCCUUUAGCAUCCCCCCUCCAUGUUUUUAUAAUCCUCUGAUAGACUAACAUCCAAACAAAACUUGGAAACAAGCAGGAAAAGAAAACAAAUGGAGAAGCCCCGAGAUGCACUGCCCGUUGUCUGUUCGUCAUUCGGGGCCCAGGACUGGCUGGUCCCCAGGCAGAGGGCCUAGUAACCUCACAUCCAUGCAUUUCAUUUCCCAAGUGCUCAGCUUUUUACUUUAUGAAAAACUGAAACGGAGCACAGAAUGCGAACUGUGUCUCAGGGUGAGAACAGCCAUACACAAAACAACAGACUGCAAUUAAAGAGGAACCUUCAGUGAAUAGAAACCACGUGAGGGAAGAACAUGCCCGACGGACGCCAUUCCCCGGUGGGAAGGCCACACGUGACUCAAGCCGGUCCGAGCAGCAGCGCGGCCACUCUACGUGGUCAAGGACAGAGCCGGGCUUCAUAGCCUUAGCAGCUUUGCUUGAAAAUGCAUUUGAUACUAAUUCUCUAUGUUUAAUUUAAAUACAAAAUGAAAUGUAUCCUGAUGUUGAAAAUGUCAACUCCAGGGUAACAUCUGCAUUCCUGUGUAUUUAGUGUCUUCAGGGUCUACAUUUUCAAAAUAGAGAAACGAAUAAAGGAGAUAAAGUGGGUUAUGUCUGUUGCUUG
rnacentral:lncRNA from 13 species